CGGUGUUAUGAACAGAUACGCAAAGAGUGAGGUCGAAAACUCCAAGUGAACCGUCAAAUCGAGGCUCCAAAUUCGACGCUCUGUGAAUCACGUGCAAUUAUGGUUUCAACGAAAAAUGUGUUCGUCAUGCUCAUAUUAUGAGUGAUGCAUUGUGCUAUGCAUUGUGCAUUGUGCUAGUGCUUAUGAAAAGUCAUGCGAAAAUAAAUGUGGUUGCCAGAAUUGUAUAGAAUAGAAUAUUAGCAAAGAGUUGCCAUAUUUACUGCUUUUCUCUUUGCGUAUCUCUUCAUAACACAGUCUCUAGGUUUCACAUAUCAGAGGUGCCAGAUCUCUUCUCAAAGCGCAAUGUUGACUAACUUUUUAAUUCGGCUCGUAUAGCUGAUGGUGACGGUGGAAGUCCUGGGGAAUAAUAAAGUGCAUCACAAAAACCGUGAAGACCAUACAAAGGGUUUGUGAACCACCGGUUAAAAAUCACUGUGAUGAAGCAACUUUGGAGCAUUCUCAUUUCUUUUUCUAGCAAUAGAACAUGAAAAACAUGGAAAAAUAAAUAUAUUCUUCAUAGAACCUUAUUGCAAUACCUUUAAA